rnacentral:lncRNA from 1 species
ACUUUCAAAUUCCAUCUCAACUACAACAUCUCUAUGCACCAAACCCAAAUCACAAGUGCCACUUUUUUCAUUACCUGCUUCCCAAAUAAUUCAAUCUCAGCCGUCGCUGCUGCUCUGCCGGUCUCGUCUGUUGCUGCUACUCCGUCGGCAAAGCUUCGUCCUCUUCGGCAAACGGCCAUCACUGACCAAUGUUUGGCUACAGUGAAGGAUCUCUCAGAUUUGGCCGGAUUUUCAAGUGGUAAAUAUAGUGUAUUCUUAGAUCUGGCUGGAUUUUUGUUUGUCUCUCGUGAUGAAAAGCCUCGAAGUCUCAUUCUCAGAUUUGGCCGGAUUUUGGUAAAUACAGUAUAAUAGUAUAUUCUCAGAUCUGGCCGGAUUUUAGUUCGUCUCUAUUUUUAGUUUUAGUAUAAUGUAUAUAAUAUUUUUCUUGGCCAAAAGACGGCAUCUACGGCAAAAUUUUUUUGUUUUGUUGUUAUUGAGUCACAUACAAUGAUACAGUACAUACAUUUUAUUCUCAGAUAUGACCGGAUUUCAAAAGGUGAAUAUAGAGUAAAUAUAUGGAUUUUAGUUCAUCUCUGGUGACUUGAAGCUUGGAAGCCUCAUUCUCCGAUCACUGGAUUUUCAAAUGAUAAAUAUUGUAUAUAUAGUGUAUUCUAGAAUAUGGAGGAAUAUUUAUUCGUCUCCAUUUUAAGUAUAUAUACAGUGUAUACAAUAUUUUGCUUGGCCGAAAAAUGCCAUCUAAGACUAACUUUCUUCUC